UACGUAGGGUGCAAGCGUUAAUCGGAAUUACUGGGCGUAAAGCGUGCGCAGGCGGUUCGCUAAGACAGAUGUGAAAUCCCCGGGCUUAACCUGGGAACUGCAUUUGUGACUGGCGGGCUAGAGUAUGGCAGAGGGGGGUAGAAUUCCACGUGUAGCAGUGAAAUGCGUAGAGAUGUGGAGGAACACCGGUGGCGAAGGCGGCAUCCUGGACCAACACUGACGCUGAGUGAGC
rnacentral:rRNA from 1 species